rnacentral:hammerhead_ribozyme from 1 species
GUACUACUGAAGUGUCUCAAACUAGGACGAAACAGAUGUCCAGUAC